AUCUGUAUCUAUUUCUUAUAUCUAUAUGUUUAUGUUCCCCUGUCUAUACAUAUACCUCCUGAAUCAUUUUCUCUUUCUGAUCUCUCCUUUGGGACUCUAUUCAGGCCACACCUACACAUGCAUAUACAAAAAUAAAUACACACAAACACACCCACCCACACACAAGGAUAGCCCAUCAGCAGCAACUCUCACUUUGUGCUUUGACCAAAUCAAGCUCAGUCAAGAAACAUCUUUUAAGGUGAAUUGCUCGGGUGAAACAGCAGAAAGGGGAAGUCCUUUUGAGGGGUGUUGCUGGAAAGUUGGAAGCUUUGGAUUCAGAAUAUGUUGAUUUGUUGCCUCAGAGUUGACCCAGAUUUGAAUCUUGUGUCAGAUGUAUAGCCUUUGAGGGAGGGAAGUACUGGUUUCUGCAUUCCGGAAGUUGGAAGUUCCUUUGAUCUUCGAAUACAAGUUGUUGUAUUGGGAUGGGCUGUCACUGUUCAAAACUUACCUCAUGUUGUUUUACCUCGGAAAAAUGAGGAGAAAAGUGAAAUCAGCGACUUACCUGCAUUUCGUGAGUUUUCAAUUGAGCAACUUAGGAUGGCAACAUCUGGGUUUGCCAUAGAAAACAUAGUUUCCGAACAUGGGGAGAAAGCUCCAAAUGUGGUUUAUAAGGGGAAAUUGGAAAACCAGAGGCGAAUAGCUGUCAAGCGCUUUAAUAGGUCCGCAUGGCCUGAUGCCCGCCAAUUCAUGGAAGAAGCCAAAGCUGUUGGUCAACUCCGGAACUACAGAUUGGCAAAUUUACUUGGAUGCUGCUGCGAAGGUGAUGAGAGGUUACUGGUUGCUGAAUUUAUGCCUAAUGAGACUCUGGCGAAACAUUUAUUUCACUGGGAAACACAACCUAUGAAGUGGGCAAUGCGGUUGAGAGUCGCUUUAUAUCUUGCGCAAGCAUUAGAAUAUUGCACGAGCAAAGGGCGUGCUCUUUAUCAUGACCUUAAUGCCUACAGAAUUGUUUUUGAUGAUGAUGCCAAUCCCAGACUGUCAUGCUUUGGUUUGAUGAAGAACAGUAGAGAUGGGAAAAGCUACAGUACAAACUUGGCAUUUACUCCUCCCGAGUACCUAAGGACUGGAAGGGUCACUCCAGAGAGUGUAAUUUACAGCUUUGGGACGCUUUUGCUUGACCUUCUCAGUGGAAAACAUAUUCCACCAAGUCAUGCUCUUGAUUUGAUAAAGGAUCGCAAUCUUCAAAUGUUGACUGAUUCUUGCUUGGAAGGUCAAUUUUCCAAUGAUGAUGGAACUGAGUUAGUGCGUCUAGCUUCAAGAUGUUUACAGUAUGAACCCCGUGAGAGGCCCAAUCCAAGAUCAUUAGUUGCUGCAUUGAUUCCUCUUCAGAAGGAAACUGAGGUUCCUUCACAUGUAUUGAUGGGUAUCCCACAUGGAGGAGAGGUUAUGUCUCUGUCAGCCCUUGGUGAAGCAUGCUUAAGAAUGGAUCUAACUGCCAUACACGAGAUAUUGGAAAAACUUGGCUACAAAGAUGACGAGGGAGCAGCAACUGAGCUCUCGUUCCAGAUGUGGACAAAUCAAAUGCAGGAUACAUUGAACUCAAAGAAAAAAGGUGAUGUGGCUUUCCGGCAUAAAGAUUUUAGGGUUGCAAUUGACUGUUACUCACAGUUUAUUGAUGUCGGAACGAUGGUCUCCCCAACUGUUUUUGCUCGUCGGAGUUUAUCACACCUCAUGAGUGAUAUGCCUCAGGAAGCCCUCAACGAUGCAGUGCAAGCACAAGUCAUAUCGCCCGUUUGGCACAUAGCUUCAUAUUUACAAGCUGCUGCUCUUUUUGCACUCGGGAGGGAGAACGAAGCACAGAUUGCACUCAAAGAAGGCUCCAUACUUGAAGAAAAGAGGAACACAACAACUUCCUGAGACGGGAGACUGUGUCCAGGGAUUCUGCCUCUGAAGUUGCUCGUCUCCUGGACACCAUACAAAACAGAAGCUUCAUGGUUCAAAGAACAGAAAGAUCAAACUCUCUGCAACUCUACAAACAACACUAGUAUGCACGUCAACAUCCAUGGAAGCCGCCGUUGAAAGGAUUGUUUCAGACGUUUUUCACCUUGUGUUUAUUGCGGACAUCUGAGUAACAUUUUCCAAUAAACGCAAUCUAGGUAAUGAUUCAGUGGCAUCAGGGAGGAUCACCGUGUCGAUAUAAAGGAUUGUGUUUACAUGCAAAUGGGCUGUUGGAGAGAUUUGGCGUACUGUAAUUUGUGUACAGUGCUCAUCUGAGGUUGGCUGGUUUUCUCUUUGUGUUUGGUUACUACAUUUCUUGUCCGUGGGUUUAUUGUGGAGAUAAUUUAUUCGAUUCGCUAAAUUGCUUGUAAUUGUCGUAGUUCUCUGAGACUUGAAUUGGGUUAAAAUAGGAUUGGAUUGAGCCAACUGCUUUGAGACUUGAAUUUCAUUUCCGAAACUUUUCACUGAAAUGAAGUUGUUUUUAAGCUGCAGAAGCAUUUAUUUUU